rnacentral:rRNA from 1 species
UACGGGGGGGGCAAGCGUUGUUCGGAAUUACUGGGCGUAAAGGGCGCGUAGGCGGUCGACCAAGUCCGGGGUGAAAUCUUUCGGCUUAACCGGAAAAGUGCCUUGGAUACUGGUCGGCUGGAGGGAGGUAGGGGCAGGUGGAACUUCCAGUGGAGCGGUGAAAUGCGUUGAUAUUGGAAGGAACGCCGGUGGCGAAAGCGACCUGCUGGACCUUUUCUGACGCUGAGGCGCGAAAGCUAGGGGAGCAAACGGG